GGCGCGCGGUCACUCGAUAGGGGGCGCUGUCCGAGACCGGCAACUCGGGCCAGCGGUGGGCGUGUCCCUUUCCGAGACUGCGAGGACACUCGCCACCUCCGGUCCCCGCCGCACGUGACUGCGUUUUGCUCUUUUGUUUUUCAUGCCAUUCCCAAGAAGCAAGGUCACUAAAAGCUCCUGGAAACGCCGAAGCCGACUGUCCCCAUCACAAGCGCGCGCAACCCCGGCCCACCCACGUGUCCUAAAGGUGUGGUCACAGGUCCCUUAGUCAGUUGUGUCGCCCACUUCGGCCGGGCCGCCUUUUGACACGGAGCAGCAGCCUGGUCCCCUGUGCUCUGCGUGCGCCACCCUGCGCUUUGCCAAGACACUGGUCCUGUGGAGGACAGCGGCCGCCGCAGCUCUGGACACAGCUGUCCAGUGGGACUCCUGCCCGGCGUCCCUCCUGUGGUUGCAGGCGGCAUCCUCUCGGAAUUCCUUAUUUCCACCCUGACCCCCUCUCCGAACUCGGGACCUUCAACACAGCGGGACACCUUCCCCACAGUGACUCAGGACCACCUCACCAAACUUGAUGGCAGCAGUUUGAUGGCAGAGUCUCAAGUUGCUGGAGCUCAAAGGGACCUUGGAUUUUUCCAGGUCUACUUUGAUGGGAGUUUUUAUAUUUCAAAAGGUUUGAUCCAUCCUGCAAAUCACUCCAGAUCAUAACAGGCUUCUGGAUCAUUUUCCCCACCUCCAUGAACUCCACACCCGGAAGGUCUGCCUGGAAAUGCUAGCCAUGUGCGAUGUGUGCGCAUGGACUCGGAGCCAAGUCGGUCUGAAGCAGGAAGCGCAGGACCUCAGAUGGUGGCAGAGAGGAGUGUGCACCUUACUGGGGCCACCAGCCAGGGCCCUGGGAGCCAGAUUAGACCCUGAUGCUGGGUUGGGGCCCAUCUCCAGCUGCCUGUGCAUCACCAUGCAGCCCCUCAGAGGACACUGCCUGAAAUGGGGUGUGUGGGGGGAGGUGCUCUCUGGGGUGUUGUCCCAGCUCCUAAUUGUAUUAAAGCAUUUGAGCUGCACACCAAAUGAGCAGCACCCAAUUAAUCACAUCUUCAGAGACACCAGGGCCAGUGCACCAAAGGGACAGCUGUAUGUUCUCAUUUCCUCUCCUUCACAUGACCCUUGUCACCAAUAAAAC